rnacentral:rRNA from 1 species
GUGCUUACACAUGCAAGUCGAACGAACCUUCGGGUUAGUGGCGGACGGGUGAGUAACGCGUGAGAAUCUGCCCUCAGGAGGGGGACAACAGCUGGAAACGGCUGCUAAUACCCCAUAUGCCGCGAGGUGAAAUGAAUUUCGCCUGAGGAUGAGCUCGCGUCUGAUUAGCUAGUUGGUGUAGGUAAUGGCUCACCAAGGCAUCGAUCAGUAGCUGGUCUGAGAGGAUGAUCAGCCACACUGGGACUGAGACACGGCCCAGACUCCUACGGGAGGCAGCAGUGGGGAAUUUUCCGCAAUGGGCGAAAGCCUGACGGAGCAACGCCGCGUGAGGGAUGAAGGCCUCUGGGCUGUAAACCUCUUUUAUCAAGGAAGAAGAUCUGACGGUACUUGAUGAAUAAGCCACGGCUAAUUCCG